UACGUAGGUGGCAAGCGUUGUCCGGAUUUACUGGGCGUAAAGGGAGCGUAGGCGGAUUUUUAAGUGGGAUGUGAAAUACUCGGGCUCAACCUGAGUGCUGCAUUCCAAACUGGAAGUCUAGAGUACAGGAGGGGAAAGUGGAAUUCCUAGUGUAGCGGUGAAAUGCGUAGAUAUUAGGAAGAACACCGGUGGCGAAGGCGACUUUCUGGACUGUAACUGACGCUGAGGCUCGAAAGCGUGGGGAGCGAACAGG
rnacentral:rRNA from 1 species